CGAAAGCCUGACGGAGCAACGCCGCGUGGGGGAAGAAGGUUCUUGGAUUGUAAACCCCUUUUCUCAGGGAAGAAGUUCUGACGGUACCUGAGGAAUCAGCCUCGGCUAACUCCGUGCCAGCAGCCGCGGUAAUACGGAGGAGGCAAGCGUUAUCCGGAAUUAUUGGGCGUAAAGCGUCCGCAGGGGGCGCAUCAAGUCUGCUGUCAAAGCUCGGAGCUCAACUCCGACCCGGCAGUGGAAACUGGGGAGCUAGAGGGCGGCAGGGGCAGAAGGAAUUCCCGGUGUAGCGGUGAAAUGCGUAGAUAUCGGGAAGAACACCGGUGGCGAAAGCGCUUUGCUGGACCGAACCUGACGCUGAGGGACGAAAGCUAGGGGAGCG
rnacentral:rRNA from 1 species